GUUGCUGGCCCCCCCAUACGGGGGCAUGUGCACACUUCUGUUCAACUUCACUUCCAACUGUGCACCCUCCGUAUUUCUGGGGCCUGGGUGGGGCUCUGUCCUCCUGCCGUGGUUCUUUGUCUUUACCCCCCCCCACUAUAAAAAKGYCUCAUGGAAUGUAGGUCGCGUUUAACCCAAUGAAAUACAACUUUCACCAACGAAUCUYUUGGCUCUCGCAUCAAUAAAAAAGGCACCGAAUGGCAAUAAUAAAUGUGAAUUGCAAAAUUCAUUGAAUCAUCAAACCUUUGAACGCACCUUGCCCCCUUUGGUUAUUCCAAAGGCAUGSCYGUUUGAGUAUCAGGAACACCUCACCUCUCGGGGUUUGCCAUGAUAACUUUGAACUUUGGGGGUCUUGUUGGCCUGUGUGCCACCUCCUCUAAAAUGAAUUACCUUGCCGGUGUUUGGGGSCCCCUGGGGGGUGAA
rnacentral:misc_RNA from 1 species